rnacentral:lncRNA from 13 species
AAAGUAUGGCCGCCGCCAUUUUCGUUCCACAUCGUUGAAGUGGAUGCAACGACCUUCCUUCCCCUCCAACGCCAAUCCAUGGACCUUGGUAUCACGUACCGUCCACAAGAUCGAGGAAAAGUGGUUUGCGAUCUGAAGAUUUUAUGGGAGCGUUGCUUUAAGAGAAGAAGAAAUAGCCAGGAACAAAAGGUCCAACAAAAUCCACGAUAACGUUAUAGACAAUUCACAGCCUUCAAGCUGGUGCUCAAGGUCAUCUGUUAUUAAAAACAGAAAAUGGGCAGUAUUAGUUAUUGAGGUGGGUCCAGCUCCAACUGCUGCUCCCACUGGUACUGCAGUUACACCGAAUAGUAUAACACAGUAGUUGCUGCACCGUCUUCAGGUACUACCUACCACAUAACUUCAAUGCCAACUGUAAGUAGGCACUGAAUACUCAGCCAACUAAAUACUCAGUUCACUGGCCCACCACUCGCCCUAAGAAAAUCUGUUCAGGUGACGCACUUUUAUACCUCUUACAAGACUCGUACUGCAAUAGUAGAUACUUAUUAGUUUGUGAUUUUGUUUUCUGUGGAAUGAUGUUAUCAGUAAGCCAAUAUUUUUUAUGUUUACAUUUCACAUUUUAUCCAUUACUUUAAAAUUUAAUUCUGACAAAA